rnacentral:rRNA from 1 species
GUCUGAGCUGUCAAAGAUGAAUGUUAACAAUAAGAAUUAAAAUUUUGUUGUAAAGCUAACGCGUUAAACAUUCCGCCUGGGGAGUACGGUCGCAAGACUGGAACUCAAAGGAAUUGACGGGGGUCUAUACGAGUGGUGGAGUAUGUGGUUUAAUGCGACAAUACACGCGAACCUUACCAGUCUUUGCAUAUUGCUUUAUCAAUUAGAGUAAUCUAAUUGAAGUUAAAAUAAAGAUAAAAAUACUUUAUAAAACGAAGCUUUA